GUUUCACGGAGUGAGUACAGUUAAAGGUAAAAAAGGAAAAAGGAAGUCUGGAGGUCUCUUGGCUGUAUAACAAGAGGGGUCACUUCACAUACUCAUCAACAGUGAGGCUAAUAUCAUCUCUAAUCAAGCGAAAAAGCAAGGGCGCAGCCUUAGUUUUCUGUUGGAAGACUUCUAUUUCUCUCAUUCCAGAGGUGCUAGCCUGUGCAAGAAGUGACAGUGUACUUUUUAUUGACAUGAAUCUUCAGGCUUCAUUUUGAAACUUUGGGCCACGAACGCUUGAUCGCAAAAAUAACAGAAAUUGCGGUGGCCAUCCGCGGAUCUAUUGUCCCUGGUUUGCUUUGUCGAGUGUCCCGGGCAAGAGGACCAAGUGUGGGAGGGUA